rnacentral:pre_miRNA from 1 species
GGAGGGUGUCUAGCCGGUCGCCAUGGCAACUGAAGGCCACCGGGUAGACAUUCAUC